rnacentral:rRNA from 1 species
GCUCAGCGCCGAAGCCAUAGUUGCUGCGUGCAUCUAUUGCGGUGUGGUGCUUACACUUGGCGGUUGUUGUUCAGCUUACUGUCCUAGGCUCCCUUGAUUGGGACACCACGGUGGGUGCAAGACCUAUGAGGACAGAGCUUGCAAUAAACCUUUCGCCGAGCUGUAGAGUCGGGUUGUUUGAGAGUGCAGCCCAAAGCGGAUGGUAUAUCCCAUCUAAAGCUAAAUAUGGCUACGAGACCGAUAGCGAACAAGUACCGCGAGGGAAAGUUGAAAAGAACUCUGAAGAGAGAGUUAAAUAGGACGUGAAACCGUUCGGAAGCAAACCGAUGGAGCUGUCGUUCAGUUUGUAUCAGCAAUCAGUCGAUACGCGAGCUGUGCGUACGUUGUUUGAAUGCACAUGACAUCGGUGCACGGCAGCGGACGAUGCAUUUGUUGACAACUGGCGUCACGAACAGUGUCUGGCAGUCGUGUCCGUACGAUGCGUAAACGCGGGAGCCGCUUGCUUGUGGCAUUCCUUACAGCGUUGGGCGCGUACGGAUGGUUGAUAGACGAUUGAUUAUCAGAGCUGUUGUGUGUGGCCACUGAUAGUCGUUUCAUGGCUUUCUUGCCACUGGAACGGUGUUGCAGCUUGGCCGUCGUCGUACAGAUGUCUUGCAGUGUGGACCAUUUUGACCGGUUGUCUAAGCCAUUUUCAUUGGCCGAUGAUUUGCGUGGUCGCAUUGCUGGGCACUGGCGGUCAGGUUUCGCGAUUAGCACCUAUCAGUGCGUCUGUGACGUUUCACACAGCCACCCAUUGGACCCGUCUUGAAACACGGACCAAGGAGUGCAGCAGUUAUGCGAGUCGUUGACGUGAUAACGACGGUCAAAGGCGUAACGAAAGUACAGUUGCUUUGCCGAUCCCGGUUUGUCGAUGCUGGGCGCAUUGCAGUGCCGUUCGAUUCGUGCUGCCUCGUGUAGCCGAACGAACGGACUCGGAGCAUACAUGCUGCUACCCGAAAGAUGGUGAACUAUGCUUGAGCAGGACGAAGCCAGAGGAAACUCUGGUGGAAGUUCGAAGCGGUGUUGACGUGCAAAUCACUCGCCUGACUUGUGCAUAGGGGCGAAAGACUA